ensembl:lncRNA novel transcript
UUUAAACUAGGAAAAUGACUAAUAAUUGAAAAUAAUGGGAACUCUGUGGAAUUUUCUUUGUAUGUCAUCAUGAAAUUGCUGUGUAACAAACAACCAAGAUCCAAAAUAGCAAGACUGGGAGGUACGACUGCAGAAAAAAAUUCAUCCCAUGAUAAGAACCAAUGGGUUGAAACUGUCCAAUAAACGUUGCUUAAUGAAGCCCAGGAGCGAUUAUAAACAUCCAAUGAAUGAGUUUGUGUGCUGCAGGAAGAGACCAACAAGAAACAGAAGAUCAGUCAGUGCAUGGGUAGAUGACAUCUGUGCAUCCCAUUGUGUGAAAAAUAAUCUGCUGAUUUUGCCCUUUGUUCUAAAAUAAAUUCAUUACAUAGG